AAUGAACGCUGGCGGCGUGCUUAACACAUGCAAGUCGAACGAGAAAGUCUCUGCUUGCAGAGACGAGUAUAGUGGCGCACGGGUGAGUAACACGUGGAUAAUCUACCUUUGAAUUUGGAAUAACUGUUCGAAAGGGCAGCUAAUACCGAAUAAAGUGAUUGAGUCUUCGGAUUUAAUUAUGAAAGAGAGCCUCUGAUUUAAGCUUUUGUUUGAAGAUGAGUCCGCGCACCAUUAGCUAGCUGGUGGGGUAAAGGCCUACCAGGGCAACGAUGGUUAGCUGGUCUGAGAGGAUGAUCAGCCACACUGGAACUGACACACGGUCCAG
rnacentral:rRNA from 1 species